CUCAAGUAAGCACAAGGCUAGCGCGGAAUGUACUAAUCCUUUUCCCCUUGGGCUACAUGAGAUGUGUUUUCAAGUUUGAUACAUGGUGAUCAUGUCUGUUUCUUUCCAUUCUUUUACCUUUGUAAGGUAAAUGUACGUUCAUAACAAGUUAACUCAUCAGGAGUCGCUUGUUAUUUCUCUUUCGUUACUGGAGUGUAGCGAAAAAUUUUAUUUAAAAAUUUUAAAUUUUUAAAUAAAAUUUUUCUUCCUCAACUAAAACGGAACUGUAACACGUUUUUUUUACACUUCCCACUUGGCUGUAUGGCAUACAGGUGUGUGCCUACGCGCCGGGAAAAAGUUAUGUUCGUUUGACAUUUCGUUUACGCGAUGACGAUGGCAAUUUAGUCCCGUCGCGAUUAUUUCUUUAAAGUGGUGUGUAAGCCACAUAUAUUACGAUGAAAGGAUGGUGAAGUCUUCUGUAUAAAAACAAUGGUUUAGUCCAUCGACUAGGGGGAAUGCUGUUAUAAUAUCGUCUCACGUGAUGUGGGGUCAAAGUCCACCGGCAGAGUCCAGUGUUAAAGUUCUACUAGAAUGAUCAACUGUAAAGACUAACUUCAAAAAUCAACUUCAAAGUCUUCCUUCAGGGUCUAGCUCCCCAGCCAUGACUACCAUUUGUGUUCAUUGUCUGCUUUUGCCGUCAGGGUCAGUUCCUGCUGCGGUCAUUAAUGUACAUAAUUCCAGUUUGGUGUUAAAAUCUCUGGAUACCAUCUAAAUAUCUCUUCUUCAUGAUUAAUUUAACUUAUUAUGGAUAGUGCCAUGCUCUCAAGAUGAUUUUCUACUAAUACAUGGAGUAUUUAUCCUCAAUACAUACUCCAUGCCUUUUUGUCAGGACCUGCCGUCCUGACACUUUACUUAUCCUCAUAGGAAUAAAACCUAGUUGUUUAGGUAUAAUACUAAGUUAAGAUACCAUGUUAUAGUAAAAGAUUUGUUUCUUAAUUUAUAUUAGGAUGGUUUGUAACCGACUGACUUCAUAUCAUUUUAUUUUGAAAUUGUUGAAUCAAUUAUACUAUUGUUAAAAGUGAAA